rnacentral:rRNA from 1 species
UACGUAGGGGGCUAGCGUUGUCCGGAAUCAUUGGGCGUAAAGAGCGUGUAGGCGGUCCGGUAAGUCCGUUGUGAAAGUCGGGGGCUCAACCCUCGAAUGCCGGUGGAUACUGUCGGGCUAGAGUGCGGAAGAGGCGAGUGGAAUUCCUGGUGUAGCGGUGAAAUGCGCAGAUAUCAGGAAGAACACCCGUGGCGAAGGCGGCGAGCUGGCCUGUACCUGACGCUGAGGCGCGACAGCGUGGGGAGCAAACAGG